GUGUGAGACGGUUUUAUGGAUUGUGAGGCUGAGUCAGAUGCAAGCCCUAAGCUGUGUCAGUCUGGUUUCUGGAUUCGACGGAGAAACACACAGGCACAUAAGUUUCAAGAAUAUAUUCAGUCAUUUGUGUUCACAACAUUACUUAGUGACAUACCAAACGAGGAAUACUCCUGUACAAUGGGGAUGGAGUACUUCCAGGAAUGGAACCGUACAGAGACUUCGUCAACUACGACGACAACAAAGAUGACAACAAACCAAAAACUAUAUGGAAAGGACCUCAGUGCUUAUGAAGAUUUGGAUGUUGAUACAUUAUUGUCCCAACUGUCUCCAGAGGAAAUAAAUAUCCUUGCCAAGGAAGUGGACCCUGAUGACAACUUGCUGCCUCCAUCACAGAGAUGCAGCUAUGCUUGCGACAAGGAUCCUACUGGUCCGCUGAAUCGAAAGAAACUGAUUGAGCACAUCAACAAACAGGCUCUGGAAACACCAGAUAAACCAGAAGUGAAGCCAUAUGUUCCAGGCACGAUAAGAGGGAAGAAAUGGAUUCCUCCACCUCCAUCAGUAAAGGAGAGGGAGGUAGAAGAGCAGAUCACUAUUGAUUUGGGAGAUGAGUAUGAACAUGCUCUCAGCGCAGCAACACAGGAGGAAAUUAUUGAUCUUGCCGCCAUUCUUGGUUUUCACUCGAUGAUGAAUCAAGAUCAGUAUCAUGCAUCCCUGCUGAGUAAGGGUCAGCCUAUUGGCCUGGGUUGGGAUGGCAUCACCAAAGCAUCACAACCAAAGCCGUACCCUGCGGAUCCUCCCAACAUGACAGAUCCAGAUGCAACCAUAAAGCAAGUUCAGGAUGAUGACCAUACUCUUAUUGAUCUCAAUUGGAAUAACAUUAAGAAUAUCUCGGAGGAGAAGUUUACUCAACUGUUUGAAGCACUUCCUAACAACACGCAUCUGGAAACGUUGAGUCUUACAAACACCGCAAUGACAGACCCUACAGCUCUGAAACUAGCAGAGGCACUAGAACACAAUAAUACCCUGCGUGUUGUCAACGUGGAAACAAACUUUAUCAGUCCAGCAGUUAUUGUCCGACUCAUCAAAUCAUUGCUCACUACGAAGUCCAUUGAGGAGUUCAGAGCAUCAAACCAGCGCUCCCAGGUACUGGGGAACAAGAUUGAGAUGGAUAUAACGGCGCUUGUGGAACAAAAUCCCACUCUCCUCAGGCUUGGUCUGCAUUUGGAAUAUAAUGAUGCUCGACACCGCAUUGCAAUGCACCUGCAGCGCAACAUAGACAGGAUACGCCUGACUCGGGUUGGAGCAACAAGCUCGUAGUGCGAUGAUGUCUCAUUUAAUAGGUAGUAGUACCAUUUCUUCACAUCUUCUACUAACAAUGUGGCCAGCCACCAUAUUCACAAAAGACGAUGGGAACAGGAUUUGCCCUGGUGAUCGUCUUCGCAGGAUGGGACGUGCCUCUCGCAACUACACCAUUGGGUUCGUGGUGCACCGUAAUUCAGUUCAAGAGUGAAGAAUUGCACAAGUUUUCAACUUCACCCUAGUUGUGUGUGCACUAGAACGAAAUAUUUUGUUUGAGAGCUUUGAACAUGGUGUGUUGAUUUGAGGCUUUGUAUUAUUUUAUUUACUACAUCUCUUUUCUUUUCAAAAGUAAAAAACCUCAUAUUUUUAUGCCAAAAUUUUCCUAUCACUUUUUAUAAACAUUUUAUCCAUUAUCUUUAUAGAAGGAUAUAAUGUGAUUGCUGUGCACUAUUAUAUGAUGCUUUUGAAGAUGAGACACUGUAGUGGUGAGAUGAAAAAUUUCAUGCAGAUUCUGUAAUAUUUUCAUUUUAUGUUUGUAUUGUUCUUGAGGGACUUGAUGACUGAUACUUGAGAUUGACAUAUUUGAAAUUUAGCUCAUGAAUUUUAUUUUUCCCCAUGACAUUUUUGUGUUCGUGUUGGCAUUUUUAAUCAAGAAAGUAGAGUUUUUUGUUUCAUUGUUCUGACCAUCUGAAGCAUUCAUUUUUAUGUGCGUGGUAUUGGGAAUUGUAUACGUGGAUAUAUAUUUCACCCUGUCAGUACACUUCCCAUUCUUAAAGAGCUUACUGCAAUUCCAAACUCGUAAGACAACAUUUUCUUCAAGAAGUAAUGAAGUGUUGUAGAUGUGCAUUAUGAACUAGGUUUGAGACAGUAGAAUGUCUUUUUCUGGAGAGAAAAAAAAAAAGGGAAAUAGUUGUACAUUUUU